AUACAUUUCUCGGCCUUUCGACUAAGAUCAAGUGUAAUAUAUGUUUUUAUCAGUUUAAUAUCUGAUAUGCGUGGCCAUCGGUCCGUUCGAUACUAACUCUAUUUUUUAAAGGAGAAAACCCGUCAAAAUAGCUUGCUGUGUUGCACUAUUGCAUGGCCUGGCUCAACCUGC
rnacentral:snRNA from 2 species